CCAUGGCCCAGGUGAGACGCCCGGUCCCAUUCCGAACCCGGAAGCUAAGGCCUGGCACGGCGAUGGUACUGCACCCGACAGGGUGUGGGAGAGUAGCACGCCGCCGCACC
rnacentral:rRNA from 1 species